rnacentral:rRNA from 1 species
GAUGAACGCUGGCGGCGUGCCUAAUACAUGCAAGUCGAACGCUGAAGGAGGAGCUUGCUCUUCUGGAUGAGUUGCGAACGGGUGAGUAACGCGUAGGUAACCUGCCUGGUAGCGGGGGAUAACUAUUGGAAACGAUAGCUAAUACCGCAUGACAACAGUUAUUGCAUGAUAACUGUUUAAAAGGGGCAACUGCUCCACUACCAGAUGGACCUGCGUUGUAUUAGCUAGUUGGUGAGGUAACGGCUCACCAAGGCGACGAUACAUAGCCGACCUGAGAGGGGGGUCGGCCACACUGGGACUGAGACACGGCCCAGACUUCGACGGGAGGCAGCAGUAGGGAAAUUUCGGCAAUGGACGGAAGUCUGACCGAGCAACGCCGCGUGAGUGAAGAAGGGUUUCGGAUCGUAAAGCUCUGUUGUAAGGGAAGAACGAGUGUGAGAGUGGAAAGUUCACACUGUGACGGUAUCUUACCAGAAAGGGACGGCUAACUACGUG